AAUUAGGGUUCGAUUCCGGAGAGGGAGCCUGAGAAACGGCUACCACAUCCAAGGAAGGCAGCAGGCGCGCAAAUUACCCAAUCCCGACACGGGGAGGUAGUGACAAUAAAUAACAAUACGGGGCUCCUUCGGGUCUCGUAAUUGGAAUGAGUACAAUUUAAAUCCCUUAACGAGGAACAAUUGGAGGGCAAGUCUGGUGCCAGCAGCCGCGGUAAUUCCAGCUCCAAUAGCGUAUAUUAAAGUUGUUGCAGUUAAAAAGCUCGUAGUUGAAUUUCGGGAUUGACACAUCGGUCGUGCCUUAAGGGGUAUGAACUGGUGUAGUCAAUUUCUCACCUUCUGGAGAACCGCGAUGCCCUUAAUUGGGUGUCACGGGGAACCAGGACCUUUACUUUGAAAAAAUUAGAGUGUUUGAAGCAGGCAUUUUGCUUGAAUACAUUAGCAUGGAAUAAUAAAAUAGGACGGCAUGAUUCUAUUUUGUUGGUUUCUAGGAUCACCGUAAUGAUUAAUAGGGAUAGUUGGGGGCAUUAGUAUUCAGUUGUCAGAGGUGAAAUUCUUGGAUUUAUUGAAGACUAACUACUGCGAAAGCAUUUGCCAAGGAUGUUUUCAUUAAUCAAGAACGAAAGUUAGGGGAUCGACGACGAUCAGAUACCGUCGUAGUCUUAACCAUAAACUAUGCCGACUAGGAAUCAGACGAUGUUA
rnacentral:rRNA from 1 species